rnacentral:rRNA from 1 species
GGAGGACUUCGGUUCAAGGGUGUAUAGCUUAGCGGCGGACGGGUGAGGUAACGCGUGGGCAACCUGCCGUAUACAGGGGAAUAAUCACUGGAAACGGUGACUAAUACCGCAUGUCAUCACAAGGAGGCAUCUUUUUGUGAGAAAAGGAGCAAUCCGGUAUACGAUGGGCCCGCGUCUGAUUAGCUAGUUGGUGAGAUAAUAGCCCACCAAGGCGACGAUCAGUAGCCGACCUGAGAGGGUGAUCGGCCACAUUGGGACUGAGACACGGCCCAAACUCCUACGGGAGGCAGCAGUGGGGAAUAUUGCACAAUGGGGGAAACCCUGAUGCAGCAACGCCGCGUGAAGGAAGAAGGCUUUCGGGUUGUAAACUUCUAUCAAUAGGGACGAAAAAAAUGACGGUACCUAAAUAAGAAGCCCCGGCUAACUACGUGCCAGCAGCCGCGGUAAUACGUAGGGGGCAAGCGUUAUCCGGAAUUACUGGGUGUAAAGGGAGCGUAGGCGGCAUGGUAAGCCAGAUGUGAAAGCCCGCGGCUUAACUGCGAGGAUUGCAUUUGGAACUAUCAAGCUAGAGUACAGGAGAGGAAAGCGGAAUUCCUAGUGUAGCGGUGAAAUGCGUAGAUAUUAGGAAGAACACCAGUGGCGAAGGCGGCUUUCUGGACUGAAACUGACGCUGAGGCUCGAAAGCGUGGGGAGCAAACAGGAUUAGAUACCCUGGUAGUCCACGCU